rnacentral:lncRNA from 1 species
AUGAAUAUAUAUUGGUAUAUGAGUUUGAAUAGAUGGGGUCAUGAAACCCAAUGGGUGUUUCGAAGUACAAAAACAUAACUCUUAUUGGACUCUCUACUUUAGAUAAGAAUCUCCACUCCUACUCUCCAAGUCUAGUGGGCCGUUUCACGUUCUUUUUCAUACACAACUACACAAGUGUAUGUAUGUCUAAAUUAGGGGUGUGGGAGUUCCGAUUUGAUUUGAGCUUUUUUUUGUCAGUUUGGAUUCGAUUCGUUUCAGUUAAUCGGGGUUUAUAAUACUUAAGCAGGAGACUAACCAAAAUUCAGUUCGGUUCAGUUUGUAUUUGACUUUGUUUCACUAUGGUUAGACAUCUACCUCUAACCAUAGUGUCACCAAAUAUCAUGGAAACGAUAUGAUCUGUUCAAUUCUUAAAAAUAGAUGAAGCUUUGCAACAUCUUUCAAAUCACCUCUUUUAUGGAUCUCUUAGUACAACUUAAAAAAAAAAAACUAUUUGAUGGAAGAUAUAUUUAUUCUUAAGAAUUUCUUGUGCAUCCAUAACAUUACAUUUAGUUAUAAAAUAAUCAACACAAAUUUAAAACUAUACAAAAAUAUUGACAUCAUAAAAUAUAAUUCAAGUGUCUGUCCCCUUUUCGAGCUAUUAUUAUAUCCGUUAGAAUAAACUAAAAUGAACAAUAAAAAUUUAUAAACGAGCAUUGGUUGAGAGGAAAAACCCAUUGUGAAGUGAAUCACAUUCAUAUCUAAAAAAGAAUUCGACCAUACAUUGCACACUAGAUUUUCCUUUUUUGAUACAUUUAUUUAUAAACUAGAAAACCGAAUUAUCCAAACCAUAACAUUAGUGGAAUCAUGCUUGUUCCUUCUCCGUUGUGUUCAUAGAAUCAAAAUUUUGCAAACUACAAUUAACAUCUUUAAUCAUUAGAUUAUAAAAGUUAAGAAAAUGUACUUUUGAUAACACUUAUAAAUUUUAAAACAAAAUACUUUUUAAGAUCAAAUAUCACAUAUAUCAAUUUGUUUACAAAUGCUAUUAUAGCGAUGUAACGCGGCUACACGGGUACAAAUCUAAUUAAAAAUGAAAUAAACAUAUAUAUUGGGUUAUUAUACCUAGUUCGGUUCGAAGAAAGUCUUAACCAAACAGUUACAAUUCUAUAUAAGAACUCAUCUAAUUAUCAGUUUGUUUCACCUGUAAAUAUGGGAUUAUUAUAUCAUGACCAAUUUGUUAGGAAUGUUCAUAAGUCGAUACAGUUUCAUGAAACAACGAUACACUUCAACAAUGUGUUUGUUUCAAUGACGAUCAUGCAUGCCUAUCAAAUAAUGGUAUUCUAAUUAAGUACCAAAGUGGCUAUACUAGUUUAUGAUGUGUUAAGUUUUUUUACGGCAACUUUAAUCGAGUUUUUUUUAUAUAUAUAUUUUUAAUUUUUGGUGUUAAUUAUGUAUUUUCAGUUUAUCAUUUUUGAGGUCAUUGUAAGUUCUAUAUGUUAUUCUUAUAUUUUAGAAUUUCAAUUAAAUUAGGAUCUAUGAUUUUUAAUAUGAAUUUAUGUACCUAGAAAUAUAUUAUAUAAUUUUGUUUAGGUAUAAAAUGAUAAAUAUGAAAAUUGAAGGAGUACUUUGUAAAUUAAAAAAUUGUUGGAGCAACACUAUUCAUAUCUCUAUAUUUUGAGCAAGAUAUAAAACACCGUUGGAGUGAUUUACACCAAAUACAGAGUUAGAGCAACACUAUUCAUAUCUCUAUAUUUGGAGCAAUAUAUAAAGCAUCAUUGAAGUGAUUUUACACCAAAUAUAGAAUUGGAACCAAGAUUUGAAGCACCAAUGGAGAUGCUCCAAGCUCGGAACAGUCUACCAAUUAUGAAAUAAAAUAAACUUAUAUCUGUACCGACGAAUGUAUAAAAUAGUAAUAAAUUGUUAAUGAUAAAAAUUAUCUUUUAAUUCUUUUUUUUUGGUAGUAAAAAAAAUAUCUUUUAAUUCAUCUUAGGGAAAACACAUUUUUAACCCUCAAAGUGUUACUGGAUAACACUUUAAACCUCGAAAAAAUUUCACUAACACUAUAAACUACCAAGAUAAUUUUACUAACACUUUAAGACUCCGAACUAGCUUUUAUGUUUGUCCCGCCGUAAAAAAUGAUGGAAAUUUAAUUUCUAUUUGUUUAAUAUACAUUAAUUUAAUUUAAUUUAAAUAUAAAUUAAUUUUAUUAUUUAUUACAAUUAAUAAAACUUUAAAAAGACAAAAAAAACUUCACCUUCUUUGUUUACUCACCGUUCGACCAUGAAAUUUCAAAAUUAAACCUCUGAAUCUAUAGACUUAAGCACAAGAAAGUUUAUAGUAUAAUAAUAUAAACCAAAUAAUGUAGAAUAUGAGGUACAAGAGAAGCAUAAAUAGAAUAAUAAAAACCAAAGAAUGUCAAAGUUUAAUCAGAAAACGAAACAUUCUUCGUAUUGGGGGAAUCUACUUUUUUUUUUUUUACUUUUCUUAAUAAUCGUAAAAUCAUAAUAAAUAAUAAAAUUAAUUAAAAUUUUAAAUUAAAUAAAUUUAUAUUAAACCAAUAUAAAAUAAUUGUUUCAUCAUAUUUUAUGGUGGUGCAAACAUGAAAGCUAGUUUGGAGGUUUAAAGUGUUAGUAAAAUUAUUUUGGCAGUUUAUAGUGUUAGUGGAAUUCUUUCCGAGUUUAAAGUGCUCCUAGUGACACUUCGAGGGUUAAAAAUGUAAUUCCUCAUUCAUCUUAUUAACCAAUCUUAUUUAUUUGUACCACCAUUUUGCUUAUCCUUUUCAAAUUAGUUUUUUUUUUUAUAAACCGAUGCAACUAAAAGAGAGAUCACAAAGUGUAAUCAAUAUUUUUAAACACAUUGGAUCAAUACAGGUUUUGCUGGAUUUUUCCGAAUUUUAUCAGAUUUAUAGUUAAUGGAUUUUAGUAUUGAAUAUGAAUCGGAUUAUUGACGAAAUCACCGAGUUUACCGGUCCGACUAUGAGUUCGGAUUAGGUUUGAAAACACCAGCGCCGACAGUAAAGAAAGUUAUUUUGUGAUAUCCAAAAUGUGAAGACGAUAAAAAUGUAUUAAAAUACUCAUUUGUGCAUACAUACCAUUUAGUCCUUUAAUAUCAAUUGUUGGAACCUUUCACAACUUCGUGAUAAAUUAGUAAAUUACAGAAUUUGUUUUUUAAGAACAAAAAAUAUUUUUCCUUCUAAAUUCAUUGAUAUCAAAUCAAGAUUACAAAGUUAGUUUACAGAAACUUUUGAAAACAAAUUAUUACAUAAGCAGAUAUAUGCAUCACAUUUUAAGAAAGAUACACAAAAAGAAGUGAAUUUGACGAUAUCAUACUUAUGAACACUAUUUUGAAAAAUAUAAAAGCUGUGUUUUCUAAAAAAACCAAUUCCACCGUAAUAAAUUCUUCAUACACCAAAAACUGUUAACAAUGGCAGGAGAAGUGAUUCCUUGCCACACACACGAAGUCUAGAACAAUAAGGUCAAAUCCGCCAACGAAUCCAAGAAACUAGUACUUUUCUCUUCUCUUGUCUUUGAGUUUUCUUGAUGAUGUUCUUCAAAAUUCUGUUUUGUUCUAAAAUUUUGACUGAAAAAGAUUGUGAUAGACUGAUAGACUUCACUGCGACAUGAUGCCCUCCUUGCCGUUUAAUUGGGUCAGUGUUUGCAAGUAUGGCUAAGAAGUUCACCAAUGUUGUCUUCUUCAAGAUCGAUGUUAUGUAGAUGAAUUGCUAUAUGUUGCUCAAGAAUUCAAAGUUAAGGCAAUGCCCACUUUUGUUUCCAUGAAAGAAGGCGAAAUCCUGGAUCAUAUUGUCGGUGCCGAAAGAGAGGAGAUUCAUGAGACGCUGUUGAAGCAUGGUGGUUUUGUGUUAAGCACUGAAUACGUAUUCUCUUAUUGCUUAAUGAUGAAUGUCAUUCAAAGCAGAGACUAGAUAGCAUCAUCUUCUCUAGCUCACUACCCACAUAGAGACUAGAUAGCAUCAUCUUCUCUAGAACAGAAUAACAUGUGGCACCUACCACUAUUACUAGCUAAGACUAUACCAAAUUAUACACAAUUCUCUAGGUACUAUGCAGAAGUUCAUUUCAACCAAUAGAUGCCCCAUUGAGCUGCAUUAGUAAUCUGCUACAUUUCUGAAAUAAAAGUAUACACAUAAAGGCAAUGGAAGAGAUGUUGAAAAGGCUUGUUUCUUGUCGUAAGAGCAAAAAUCAAAAGCCUGGAACCAACACUACAAGAAAUAUGAGCAUUGAUAGCACAUUACGAUAGCACAGUUUUCGUAACUGCUAUUAAAGAUAGUAUUUGGAAUUUGAUAAUUAUAUCAUAGCAUUUCAGAAACGCUAAACCUAAUAACAGCAAAAGGAGAAGCUAAAAUCCUUUGGACCGCCAACAUUUUCGUAAAAUUUUAUACUUAGCGCUCAACCAAAACUAAAAUUUUACACAUAGCGUCCAACCAAAAAAAAAAUUUCACUUAUGACAAACCAAAAACUUUUUUCACUCUUUUUCUCUUCUUAUUAUCCGAUACCUCUUAACUCUCUUCCUCUUCUGAUUUUUCAUCUUCCAUUUCAGAUCCAUCAUUGGGCUUAGAUCACCAUUAAACCCUAGAUUUACUUUUCCUUCACCGAUGCUCCGAAAUUUCUCUUAUUUGGUCUGAUUCGAGCUUAAAUCUCCUUCAUCUUGACUCGAGAGUCCAUUUGUUGCUCCAUCAAUAGAUCUAUUGUAGAUCGAAUCCUCUCUUCUCUCUUCUUCUUCUUUUUCUCUUUAGUUUCGCUGGAUCUUUCUUCUCAUAUAUGCCAUUCUUCCGAAUGAUAUGAAUCUGGAACAAACUCGAUGUUAGAGAUUGAGCCGGAGCAACAUAGUCGUGAGGGUGGUGACGCGGAUGUGGAAGAGGGAAGAAGAAGAAGCAGAGAGGCGGAUACAUCGGCUGCGUCACCGUGUAUGAAAAUCGCCAUGGGAACGGAGAAAAUGAACGACAAUAAUCUUGACGAAACGGGAAUCAAAGAGAGAGAGGGGGAUUCAUGUCUCGGCAUUCCCUUUUUCGUCACCGAAUUCCCUCUCGAUGGCUGGUGCGUAGAACCAAAUUCGGUUUUGUUUGUCUAAACCCUAAAAUUUGUCUUUCAUUGCUCGAUUGAUGGAAUUAGGAGAGGUGUGGGAGAUGUUCGUGAGCUCAUAAAAAGAGAAAGGGUUUGGGAGCGUUAUUCGCCUAUCAAGGAAGUUAUUCUUACAAUGGUGGGUUUAAUGAUUUUGCAAGGAGAUUGAUUUUGAAAUUGCUUUUCAUUUGAUUUCGUUGAAUCAGACUUUGGGUUUUUUUUUUUUUUUUGUCUUCCUCUUGAUCUCUUCUGGUUUUGUAGAGCAUUGAGAAGCUUGGCAAAGCUGGUGAGACGGUGAAGGUAGCAGAUGGAUAAUUCAGGAAUCACCUUAUGCCAAAACUUCUUAUUGUGCCUAACAUUGACAAGUAUGCUUAUCUCAUCCGAGAGCAAGGCAAGAUAAUUCACAUUUCCUUCUUCUCUAAGCUCUGCUCUUAGUUUUGCAAAAUUGAGUUAGUCUGAUGCUAGGUCGUACUAUGCUAGUUGUUUUCUGCUCUUGUUGUUGUGGUAUCUAGGUUGUGAUAUUGAUAAUGUAUAGUUCUUUUGUUAAGGGUAUCGCAAAGACGUUUGACUUGAUAUGAGAAUGUUACUGUUAUGGGAUUGAAACUACUUUGGUUUAGUGCUAGAGGCUUUUUCUUUCAUAUGAUUUCCUCAUGGGAAUAUGUUCAGAUGUGAAGAGAACCGCAUAUACUAAAGAAAGUUGUUUAUGUUGUAUUUUGAGUCAAGCAUUUGAAAUUAUGUGAUUAUAUUACUUACUCAGAUCAUGUUAUGUAUAGGUUGCAAGUGUUGAGAUCUGCUUUGACAUUUAGUUCUCUCCAAAAAGUGGUGGUGUCUAUUUGCUUUCACACCAAAUUUACACAAUACUCUUUUUUCUCCGACCAUUAAUGUGUUCUUAUAUUUUUAGCUUAAAUUUUUGAAUUGAAUGAUAAGUUUCUUCUUGUACUAACGUUGCAGGGGCUUAAGAGUGUCAUUGGGGCAAUUCGAGAUUGAAGAACUUGUUGGGAGUGAAGAAGAGUGUCAUUCGGACUAUUCAAGAGAUUGAAGAACUUGUUGGGAGUGAAGAGCAUGAUUCCUAGUAGUGAAUUAGUUAGUAUAACACAUGGUUUGAUGUAACUUGGAAUAUAUGUUUUGGAUAAUUUAUGCAAUAUAAUUUUUUCUUAUAAAUCUAAUUAAAUAUAUUAUGCAAAACAGAAUUUUAAUAUUAGGGUAAAAUAUCACAUAAUAAGAGCACAUAUAAUACAUCAACUAUUAAGUGUUACAGUAAAAUAUAAUAUAACAUUAAAAAUAUGUUAUAAGAAUAUAUAUUACAUCAUUCAAUUAACGCUAUAAUAGAACGACAUAUAAUAGCGCAUCAAAAACCGCUAUUAUAUGGGGAGACCCUAUUAUAGCUGGGGCAGAAAUAGCGUUUAGGAAAACGCUAUUGAUUACGUAUCAUAGCGUUUAUCGUGAGCUAAGAAUGUGCAUUUUUCUUGUAGUGCAAAGACGAUAAAAUUCUACCAAGGAUAUAACUAGCUCCAAAGUAGAAUGAUGGUCAAGUAAGGAAAUGUCUGAUUAACACUAAGCUCUAGUAUGGUUAGAAGAAACUACAUGUCCGUGAUUAGUUAUUAGCGAUUAGCGAAUUUGAAUUCGUUAAUUACCUGUUUAACUUCUGACAUGUAACUGCCUUAUGACGUGUCACACUAGAACGACGAGGCAGUGACUGGCGGUAUCAAGUAUAAAAAUGCGGAGAGAGAGUCAUUCUCAUCAUCAUUCUUCAUUCUCAUCAUCGUUCUUCAUCCUCAUCAUCGUUCUUCAAUUCAACAAUGGAAGCGAAGAUGAUUGUAAGUAGUCUAUGAUACGUUACUAACAUCAUCAGCUUAAAUAACAUUGUUUUUGAUAUUAACUAGAUGCAUAUAAUAGUUACAUAUUAUGUUACUGUAAAUAACAUUGGAAUAACUGGGAUGAUAUCACCGUUUAGUUUAUAGACUUUAAAGAUGAGAUGUACAUCUUGUGUGCGGUCAUGCUAAUAAUCGACUAUAUAAUAAAAUGAUAAUUUUUAAAAAAAAUUUGUUAUGUUGUUUUAUUGGAUUGCACUGGGCAUUCACUGCAAAACACAUCUAAUAUGUAGUUAAUUACAUGAGAUGUCAUUAAAAAUAAUUACAAAUAUUAAAUUAAGACCUAUACAAUAGUCUUUCAAAUUAAUUUAGGAUUAAAAAUAUUAAAUUAAGAAAGAUAAAUAGUCUUUUAACUUGUAUUAUCUUAGCUUUCAAAUCAAUAUUAAAUAUCUUCAAAUGGGUUGAUGAUCUCCCUUAUUUGGUAUGAUUUUGUGGAAACUCCUCUUCCAUGUGUAUUGUGCCCAGGUUCUUUGUAGCGGGUUUUAGAUUGAAUUAGAUACUAAUAUAAACAUCGUCUUUGUUGUAUUUAUUUGUCAUUGACUUGGUUAGUGCUAAGAGUAUUACGAGCUGGUUUUUGGGCUAAACCUAUGAACCACCUGCUUGCAGCCUUCAAUAUUUUAAAUAAAUUGUGGUUUUGUUUUUCAAAAAAGGAACAUAUGUCUAAUAGUUACAGUCUUGAUUUUGGGAAGCAUGUCUCAUGUUCGACCCUCAAAUAUGUAAUAAUAUUUUUCCCCGUUUUUCUUUAACAAAACACUAAAAUGAAACGAUUAACUAUGUUUGCAUAUAAUAUAUAUAAAUAUUGUAUUUUAAAUUAAAUUUAUACAAUCAAAAAUAUUGUGCUCCAUAUAAAAUAUAUUUUAGAUCCACCACUGUUUCCUUGCAAUGUUAGACAUCUACCUCUAACCAUAGUGUCACCAAAUAUCAUGGAAACGAUAUGAUCUGUUCAAUUCUUAAAAAUAGAUGAAGCUUUGCAACAUCUUUCAAACCACCUCUUUUAUGGAUCUCUUAGUACAACUUAAAA